CGAGAAAAGUAAAGAUCAGAGGGAGGUUUUUAGGGAAGAAUAGCCACAGCAAUGAUGGAGGAGAAUCCAAGAACGACGUUGCUUGACCACUCCUCAACAACGUUGCAUCUCCAACUGUAGUCACCUCAUCCAUUAUUUUAAAUUUUUUAAAAUUUUCCUCUUUCUCUUAUUAGAUGAGAUGAUCCCCAACAGUUCGCAACUUACAGUUCCCAAAGCCACAACUACAACCACAAUCACAACCCCUCCCUCUCCUCUUUCUCUCUCUAACGAGGAGUGAACAAUGCAACAAAUUUCCAAUAGAGAAAAGAUUAGAAAGAAAGAACGAGUUGCCAAGUCGGUGAAUUUAAAUGAUAUAACCGUAAUCCUUUUAAUUUGUUAGAUUUAUGGCAGUCGAAGAUUGAAUUAAUGGAAUAAGAUGAAAGUUUACCUGCCAAGAAAUUCAGAAACUGAAGUGCGAUGAGAUGUGUACACUCGCGCACGGUGGUCAUUAGAGCAAAAGGUGGAGAUCUAAAGAGAGUUUUCGGAGCUUUUGGCGUAGCAACAUAGUGGAUAUUCUAUAACACGAUGUAGCUUAUUAGGGUUUCGUAUGGUAUGAGUCUUAGAAUUUGAGCAAUGGUGUUAGGGUUUCAUAUGGCAUCUUGCAUUUGAGAGUCGAAUGAGAGAUUUUCUAGAUGUAUGAAGAAGAAAGAGAUGGUUAAGAGAUGAGGCGGCUAACCCUAAAAUUACAAGUUAG
rnacentral:lncRNA from 1 species